rnacentral:rRNA from 1 species
CACCGAUGGGCGAAGGCAGAUCUCUGGGCCGUAACUGACGCUGAGGAGCGAAAGGGUGGGGAGCAAACAGGCUUAGAUACCCUGGUAGUCCACCCCGUAAACGUUGGGAACUAGUUGUGGGGUCCAUUCCACGGAUUCCGUGACGCAGCUAACGCAUUAAGUUCCCCGCCUGGGGAGUACGGCCGCAAGGCUAAAACUCAAAGGAAUUGACGGGGACCCGCACAAGCGGCGGAGCAUGCGGAUUAAUUCGAUGCAACGCGAAGAACCUUACCAAGGCUUGACAUAUACGAGAACGGGCCAGAAAUGGUCAACUCUUUGGACACUCGUAAACAGGUGGUGCAUGGUUGUCGUCAGCUCGUGUCGUGAGAUGUUGGGUUAAGUCCCGCAACGAGCGCAACCCUCGUUCUAUGUUGCCAGCACGUAAUGGUGGGAACUCAUGGGAUACUGCCGGGGUCAACUCGGAGGAAGGUGGGGAUGACGUCAAAUCAUCAUGCCCCUUAUGUCUUGGGCUUCACGCAUG